rnacentral:lncRNA from 1 species
AGCAGCUGCGCCACCGGCUCAACCUCGCGGCGGGGGAAACCCGAGCUCCCAACAAAACAGUUCCAUCUUUGGCUAGGCCUUUGAUGUUAUGUGGUCAACAGGGACUGAGACUCUUUAAGCCCUUAAAUCGCUAAGGGCUAAAUCUCCUUCCUGAUAUUCGCCCCUCCUCCAAACCGGCACCAAAGAAGGCCCAGAGAGGUUUAACAGUUUCCUCAGAAUCACACAGCUUCCAAAUGGUUGGGCUGGGUUUACAUUUAGGCGGUCUUGCUCCAGAGCCAGUGCUCCUAAGCAUUGCAAGCCACGAACCUCAACAAAGUGAAGGAAACGCUGGGAAAUUUGGAAGUCAGAUAUGGCAACCUAGUUUAUCUCCCGGGAGAUGACUUUAUUUCUAAACGUAUAGGGGUUUCUUAGAGGAGCUUCAGAAUACUAAUCAUCGCUGGUGAGGGCACUUGAACACUGUGCU